UUGUUUUAUCCCAGAAUCCUGAAGAUUUACAUUAGGUGAAAAUCUAGUGUACAUAUAUAUCUUAGGAAAUGGAUAUUAGAGUACAAUCAUUACUAGAGAAUCUGUUCUUCCAGAAAGUACCACUAAAUUACACAUUUAAAACCAGAACAAAGGCAAUGAAGGAACAGUCAUUUUUAUUAGUUGACUUAUUUAUUUGAUAAACACUUUCUGGAUACCAGUGUGCCACUCUGCUAGUUUUAGUAAUACAAUGACAAGUAACACACAGCUCCUGCCUUCAAAAAUAUUGUGAUGUAAUGGGGGUGU
rnacentral:lncRNA from 1 species